AGGACGAACGCUGGCGGCGUGCUUAACACAUGCAAGUCGAGCGGACAUCUUCGGAUGUUAGCGGCGAACGGGUGAGUAACACGUGGGCAACCUGCCCCUAGCUCUGGGAUAACUCCGGGAAACCGGGACUAAUACUAAAUAUGACCGAUCCAUGCAUGUGGGUUGGUGGAAAGUUUUUCGGCUAGGGAUGGGCCCGCGGCCUAUCAGCUUGUUGGUGGGGUGAUGGCCUACCAAGGCGACGACGGGUA
rnacentral:rRNA from 1 species